UACGAAGGGGGCGAGCGUUGUUCGGAUUUACUGGGCGUAAAGGGCGCGUAGGCGGCCUUGUCAGUCAGGCGUGAAAUCCCCGGGCUCAACCUGGGAACUGCAUUUGUGACUGUAGAGCUGGAGUACGGCAGAGGGGGAUGGAAUUCCGCGUGUAGCAGUGAAAUGCGUAGAUAUGCGGAGGAACACCGAUGGCGAAGGCAAUCCCCUGGGCCUGUACUGACGCUCAUGCACGAAAGCGUGGGGAGCAAACAGG
rnacentral:rRNA from 1 species